rnacentral:rRNA from 1 species
UCGAGAAUAAUUCACAAUGGGGGAAACCCUGAUGGUGCAACGCCGCGUGGAGGAUGAAGGUCUUCGGAUUGUAAACUCCUGUCAUCUGGGAGUAAGGCGUGGCGAUGAAUAGUCGACACGAUUGAUAGUACCAGAAGAGGAAGGGACGGCUAACUUCGUGCCAGCAGCCGCGGUAAUACGAAGGUCCCAAGCGUUGUUCGGAAUCACUGGGCGUAAAGGGAGCGUAGGCGGCGUGGUAAGUCAGAUGUGAAAUCCCGGGGCUCAACCCCGGAACUGCAUCCGAUACUGCCAUGCUUGAGGGUUGGAGAGGUGACUGGAAUUCUCGGUGUAGCAGUGAAAUGCGUGGAUAUCGAGAGGAACACUCGUGGCGAAGGCGAGUCACUGGACAACAUCUGACGCUGAGGCUCGAAGGCUAGGGUAGCGAAAG